GACGAACGCUGGCGGCGUGCUUAACACAUGCAAGUCGAACGGAAAGGCCCUGCUUUUGUGGGGUGCUCGAGUGGCGAACGGGUGAGUAACACGUGAGUAACCUGCCCUUGACUUUGGGAUAACUUCAGGAAACUGGGGCUAAUACCGGAUAGGAGCUCCUGCUGCAUGGUGGGGGUUGGAAAGUUUCGGCGGUUGGGGCUGGACUCGCGGCUUAUCAGCUUGUUGGUGGGGUAGUGGCUUACCAAGGCUUUGACGGGUAGCCGGCCUGAGAGGGUGACCGGACACAUUGGGACUGAGAUACGGCCCAGACUCCUACGGGAGGCAGCAGUGGGGAAUAUUGCACAAUGGGCGGAAGCCUGAUGCAGCAACGCCGCGUGCGGGAUGACGGCCUUCGGGUUGUAAACCGCUUUCGCCUGUGACGAAGCGUGAGUGACGGUAAUGGGUAAAGAAGCACCGGCUAACUACGUG
rnacentral:rRNA from 1 species